rnacentral:rRNA from 1 species
GAUGAACGCUGGCGGCGUGCCUAAUACAUGCAAGUCGAGCGAACAGACGAGGAGCUUGCUCCUUUGACGUUAGCGGCGGACGGGUGAGUAACACGUAGGUAACCUACCUAUAAGACUGGGAUAACUUCGGGAAACCGGAGCUAAUACCGGAUAAUAUUUCGAACCGCAUGGUUCGAUAGUGAAAGAUGGCUUUGCUAUCACUUAUAGAUGGACCUGCGCUGUAUUAGCUAGUUGGUAAGGUAACGGCUUACCAAGGCAACGAUACGUAGCCGACCUGAGAGGGUGAUCGGCCACACUGGAACUGAGACACGGUCCAGACUCCUACGGGAGGCAGCAGUAGGGAAUCUUCCGCAAUGGGCGAAAGCCUGACGGAGCAACGCCGCGUGAGUGAUGAAGGUCUUCGGAUCGUAAAACUCUGUUAUUAGGGAAGAACAAACGUGUAAGUAACUGUGCACGUCUUGACGGUACCUAAUCAGAAAGCCACGGCUAACUACGUG